UUUGGUUUUUUAGACAGAGUCUUGCUCUGUUGCCCAGGCUGGAGUGCAGUGGCACGAUCUCGGCUCUAGAGAAGCCGACAGUCUUGCUUCUAAUGAAAAUUACCUUUCAUAAAGAACAUAUAAAGCAGCAUUUCCAAAGUGCAGCACCCUUACUGUUGUUUGUUUGUUUGUGUGUUUGUUUACCAGGACAGGGUCUCCCUCUGUCACCCAGGCUGGAGUGCAGUGGCACAAUCUCAGCUCACCACAACCUCUGUAUCCCAGGCUCAAGUGAUCCUCCUGCCUCAGUCUCCUAAGUAGCUGGGAUUGCAGGUGCAUACCACCAUGCCUGACUAAUUUUUGUAUUUUUAGUAGAGACAGGGUUUCACCAUAUUUGCCAGGCUGGUCUCGAACUCCUAGGCUUGAGCAAUCCUUCCCCCUUCGCCCCUCAAAGUGCUGGGAUUAUAGGCGUGAGCCAAUACGCCUAGCUUACUACCAUUAUUUUAGAUGAAUUUCUAAAAAAAAAAAAAAAAGUAUUUAUUUACUUUGAUUUUUUAGAAAAAGCUGUAACUGACACAACAAAGUGUGAUUUAGUGACUUUAUUGCUUAGGAUUGGGGUAGAGAAGGUGGGGCCGUGGCACUCAAUCUUACACAGAGGGAGAAACCAGAAUGGCAAAUGGCCACUGGAAUGCUUCCUCUGCCAUAAACAUCUCAGGACUGUGGGUUCUGACUGGCAGAGAGUGCGCCUUGCUAAUUUUACGAUGGAGUUGAUUUUAAAACGGUGUCACCCUGGCUAUCCUGGGGUCCUGCUUCCCUGACAACUCCACCCCCAUGGCCACCCCUCCUAGGGUCCUCCCAGCGCCCAGCCAUGGGGGAACUGUGCCGCAGGGACUCCGCACUCACGGCACUGGAUGAGGAGACACUGUGGGAGAUGAUGGAGAGCCACUGCCACAGGAUCGUACGCUGCAUCUGCCCCAGCCGCCUCACCCCCUACCUGCGCCAGGCCAAGGUGCUGUGCCAGCUGGACGAGGAGGAGGUGCUGCACAGCCCCCGGCUCACCAACAGCGCCAUGCGGGCCGCCAGGGCUGAUGAUAGAAAGCAGCAGAGAAUCUCCAAGUGUAAGACAUUAGUCAAAGGCCCGGCGUGGAGCCCACAGGUCCUUAGCGUUCGCAAGACGAUUGCCUUCCCAGCCCACUCCAAGGAAGAAUCAGUGCUGCCUGGCAGCAGCCUCCAGGGACAAGAGAGAAAAAAGCUCAGCAUUAGCAGAGAAGACGGACUUCUGCAGUGGCACCUACAGCUGUUCCCUUGGCCUCCCAAACAACCCAGGUGUGACGUCGGGAACCGGGAAUGCAGGCAACAGAGUGAUUCCAGCUGCCUCACAAGGAAGAGGGUGUGGGGGAAGAGCAGAGCAUCCGGGCUGGAAGCACAGUCAGAACCCUGCGUGCAGCCGGACACUCACUGUUCUUCCCCACGUGUGCUGGGCACCCGCCCUGCGUCAGGCUCUGUUCCAGGAGUUGGGUGAAACGGUGACUGAAAUAGACAGAACUCCUGUCGGUGAUGCCCACGUGAGAGAAUAUAAUCAAUGGACAAUGCACCGCACAUAUUUAAAACGUGCAAAUUGAUCCGUUUUGACAUGUGAAUGUCUGUGAACCAGCUCUACAGUUAAGAUGGUGACCAUCUCCAUCACCCUCAAAGUUUCCUUCUCCUCUUUGGAAUCCCCUCACUCCAGUCUCCAGCCACCCACUGAAUGGAAACCACUGGACUGAACGGUGUGAUCCUCCCACGGUGCAUUUCAUCUCGGCACGGGACUGGACGGCGUGAUGCUCCCACGGUACAUUUCAUCUCCUCACAGGACUGAACGGUGUGAUCCUCCCACGGUGCAUUUCAUCUCGGCACGGGACUGGACGACAUGAUGCUCCCACGGUACAUUUCAUCUCAGCACGGGACUGGACGGCGUGAUGCUCCCACAGUGCAUUACAUUUUGUCAUGGGACUGGACAGUGCAGUGCCUCCACAGUGCAUUUGAUUUCAGCACAGGACUGGACCGGGCAAUACCCCCACAGUGCAUUUCAUUUCGUCAUGGGACGGGAUGGUGUGAUGCUCCCCACAGUGCAUUUCAUUGUAAGGACAUUCCCUGGAGGCUGGUGGGCAACCCAGAGCUCUAACUCAACAGUAGAGUAGGUUAGUUGCUGGCCACUUGCAGAGUCCAAUUAUUUAGAAUGAGGUCUGGCACAAAUAAGGUUAUUUAUUCCAAAGCUAGCUUGGGGAAGUGGCACAGGCAUCUGUCUUGCAUUUAGCUGUCCCACUUUGCUUUUGGAACUGAAAGUGGGCACUUCUAAAAGACAGGGGAGGAAGUGAGCAGGGGCAGGAGUGGGUUCAUGCUAGCUCCAGUGCCUUAUCUAUCAGGUGGUCGAGCUUGUGACUGCUGGCACUUUUGUGGGCAGACCAUUAUCUCUCCAGGCCACCCCCUGAUGGGGGAGUUCCAUAGCAGGCAUGCUUUGGUCUGUAAAUCAACUGUUAACUCUCCAGGAGUUAGAUGCACUUGCCAGGGGAUCUCGAGGGACUGUCUGGUGAAGGAGGGGAGAAAAGGCUAGAUUUGCAUACCUAAAGGGCUAAGUAGGAAGUCAGGAACUGGGAAAAGGAGAAAAAAAGAGAGAAAAAUAUAAUUAAAUAUCUUUUAGAAAAAUGGGGGUACUCGGAAACAAAGCCAGUUAUCCCAAUCUGUGGCCAGCCUAUCGUCCGUGGAGUCGUAUCCCUUGGUGGGCUGUGUUUUCAUAGCCUCUAGGUAACACAGGCACACCUCAAAAUUGGGGCUUAGCCUGAGAGAGUUCUUGGCUUUGCUCAGGAAAUAAUUUAAGAGCAGGGCUAACCCACAGGGAGAGGCCAGAGUAGCAGUAAACAGCAGCAGGAGGAGGAGCAGCAGCAGCAGCAGGGGCAGCCACAGCUGCAACAAGGGAGCACUGGCUAGCCACAAUGACACCCGGUCUUAAUUAUAUGCUAAUCAAGGGGUGGGCUAUUCUGAAUUUUCUAGAAAAGAAGUAGGGGAGUUCUGGAACCAUAUAGGGUAUUGCCAUGGCAUUUAUAGGCUGUCAUAGUGCCGUAAGGAAGGUCUUCAUGCUGAUGAGCAGUGAGGGCAACUGGAGGUCACUUUUCUUUCCAUCUGCUGGUUUCAGGUGGUUUUUUUUUUUUUUAUUUAAGCCUGCUUUUUUUUUUUUUUUUUUUUUUUGAGAUAGGGUCUCGCUCCAUUGCCCAGGCUGGAUCGCAGUGGUACAAUCAUGGCCUACUGCAGCCUUGACCUCCUGGGCUCAAGCAAUCCUCCUGCCUUAGUCUCCCAAGUACCUGGGCCCACAAGCACAUGCCACCAUGCUUGGCUAAUUUUUUAAUUUUUUGUAGAGACGGGGGUCUCACUAUGUUGCCCAGGGUGGUCUCAAACUCCUGGGUUCAAGUGAUCCUCCUUUUGCAGCCUCCCAAAAUUCUGGGGUUAUAGGCAAGAGCCACUGCACCCAGUUUGCAUCCUGCUUUGACCAGCAGGGUCAUUACCGGUGCUCAGAAAACAAAUCCGGCUGAUUUCCCACCUCAUUGGUGCCCCAAACCAUGCUUUUUGUCAUCCCCUGUAGUAAUAACCAUUUUCUGUAAGCAACUGCCAUCAGCCACCUCUAAAACUGUAUCUCUUGCCUAACCAUUACGCAAGCCACGGUCAAGUUUUCUCACAAUACAGGGCCAUUUUUGGUAUCUCCGAAAAGCCAAAGAAAUCGGGUAAUACUGUGCAAAAGAGAGCGGAGCGUUAGACCUCAGGAGACUCUCCAUGUGGCGCUUGAAACUCCACAAGGAAAGCAGAAGCCCUCCAACCAACGGUGAGUGGCAUCUUUUUUUUCUGAGUUCCUUAAGGGGUUUGGGUCAUUAGAAAUCUCUAGAUCUCUUUACAUGGUACUGAAUAUGGCAGCGGAAGCAGGAGUGGGGCAGAGUAAAAGUAUACGGGAGAACAAUUUUUUUUAAAUUAAGUGAACAGCGGUGUCAGAGGCGUUCAAACCAGAGUGACUCCAUCUUGAACAGGGUCCGGGUAAAAUAAGGCUGAGGCCCACUGGGCUGCAUUCCCAGGAGGUUAGACAUUCUUAGUCAGAGGAUGAGAUAGGAGGUUGGCACAAAAUAUAGGUCACAAAGACCUUGCUGAUGAAACAGGAUGCGAUGAAGAAGCCAGCCAGAACCCACCAAAACCAGGAUGGCGAUGGAAGUGACCUCUGCCUGUCCUCCCUGCUCAUUAUAUGCUAAUUAUAAUGUGUUAGCAUGCAAAAUGACACUCCUACCAGCGCCAUGAUGGUUUACAAAUGCCAUGGCAAUGUCAGGAAGUUACCCCGUGUGGUCUAAAAAGAGAGGGAAUCGGUCGGGCAUGGUGGCUCACGCCUGUAAUCCCAGCACUUUGGGAGGCCGAGGUGGGCGGAUUACCUGAGGUCAGGAGUUUGAGCCCAGCCUGGCCAACAAGGUGAAACCCCUCUCUACUAAAAAUACAAAAAUUAGCCAGGCAUGCUGGCGGACGCCUGUAAUUCCAGCUACUCUGGAGGCUGAGGCAGGAGAAUUGCUUGAGCCUGGGAGGCGGAGGUUGUAGUGAGCCAGGAUCGUGCCACUGCACUCCAGCCUGGCCGACAGAGCAAGUCUCUGUCUCAAAAAAAAAAAAAAAAAGAGAAGGAAUUGGCUGGGCACAGUGGCUCAUGCCUGUAACUCCAGCAUUUUGGGAGGCCAAGGUGGGCGAAUCACUUGAGGCCAGGAGUUCGAGACCAGCCUGGCCAACGUGGUGAAACCCCGUCUCUACCAAAAAUACAAAACUUAGCCAAGCAUGGUGGUGCAUGCCUUUAAUCCCAGCUACUCGGGAGGCUGAGGCAUGAGAAUUGCUUCAACCCAGGAGGCGGAGCUCGCAGUGAGCUGAGAUUGUGCCACUGUACUCCAGCCUGGUUGACAGAGUGAGACUCUGUCCCCCCUGCCCCCCAAAAAAUCCUUUCAAAUCUCUUGUUACCAGAUUUUAGCUGGGCCAAACAGCUGAUAAUUCUUUUUGUAUAAGUCCCAGACCCAUCCCAAAGACAGCUCAAAGAAAGUGAAGUUUCACUAGCCACAAGUGGAGUCUAACUCACAUUUCUGUUCAGCUGUAUUCUCUAGGGUCUCAGCUUCUCAGCUGACCACCUGCACAUAAGGGUCCAAAAGCCCUGUGUCCCAAAGACAGAAGGCAGGAAAUCAAAAGCUGUUCAUGGAAGGGAUAAGGAUCAAUAAAUGGAAGCCAGCAGGGACUGAUUCUCUGAUCAGGAGGCAAACCCAAGCCGCAGUGAGAAUUUUAAAUACCAGACUCCAAAAUGGAGUAGCUUCCAUUGUUAAUCCCACAUGGAAUCCAAAGUGUGCAGUUUGGUUGUUUUGUUUGUUUGUUUUUGUUGUUGUUUUAAUUUUUUUAAGAGAUAGGGUCUCACUGAGUAGCCCAGGCUGGAGUGAAGUGGUGCAAUCAUAGCUCACUGCAGCCUCAACCUCAUGGGCUCCAGCGAAACGCCUCAUCUUGUCUUUAACCUCCAAACUGGGCUUGUGCCAAGCUCACUUUGGGAGACAUUUAGUUUGUGGUUUAAACGAUAAUAGCCCUUCUCCAAAACUAAACUGUCAUCGUAAGGCUAAUGAAAGUCUACCAAGUUAGGAGGAUGAGAGGAGCCUGAGUUCUGCUGAUGUGUACACAUAAAUCUAAGAUUGGCUUUUUGAGAUGUCUUUUCAGGAUUUUGCAUUUCUUCUUCUUCUUCUUGUUUUUUUUUUUUUUUUUUUUGAGAUGGAGUUUUGCUCUUGUUGCCCAGGGUGGAGUGCAGUGGCCCGAUCUCGGCUCACUGCAACCUCUGCCUCCCGGGUUCAAAUGAUUCUCCUGCCUCAGCCUCCAGAUUAGCUGGGAUUACAGGCGUGUGCCACCAUGCCCAGCUAAUUUUUUAUUUUUAUUUUUUAGUAGAGAUGGGGUUUCACCAUGUUGGCCAAGAUAUUUUUGAUCUCCCAACCUUGUGAUCUGUCUGCCUUGGCCUCCCAAAGUGCUGGGAUUACAGGCGUGAGCCACUGCGCUCGGCCAGGGUUUUGCAUUUCUGACAGAUGAUGGGUCCACCUGGACCUGCCAAUGUGUCCUGUGGCCUCACCCAGAAGAAGACUGUCACCCUUGUCAUUGCAUCUGCAACCAACCAGCAGCACUCAUUCCCGGGGCCCCCAAACUAUCCUUGAAAAAUCCUAGCCUCCGAAUUCUGGGGAGGCUGGUUUGAGUCAUAAUAAAACUCCAGUCUCCUGUUCAGCCAGCUCUGCAUGAAUUAAACUCUUUCUCUAUUUCGAUUCCCCUGUCUUGAUAAAUUGGCUCUAUCUGGGAAGUGGGAUAAAUGAACCCACUGCACGGUUACAACAGCAGCAUUCACGAGAGCCCGAUGGCCAUGAACAGACAAAUGAAUCAACAACGCACGGCGUUCACACAUUGGAAUAUGAUAUGGCCACAUCCAGGACAAGGCACUGACACAGGCUAUGACAUGGAAGAGCCUCAAAACAUCAUGCAGACGGGAAGACACCAAUGCAAGAGGCCACAUAUUACACAACUCCACGUAUAUGAAAUGUGCAGAACAGGCAAAUCCAGAGAUGGAAAGCAGAUUGGUGGUUGCCUCGGACUAGGAGCUGCUUAACGGGUUCCGGGAUACAUGUGCAGAAUGUGCAGAGUUUCACUCUGGCUCCUAGGCUGGAAAGCAGUGGCACCAUCUCAGCUCUCUGCAACCUCCACUUCCCAGGUUCCAGCGAUUCUCCUGCCUCAGCCUCCCGAGUAGCUGGGACUACAGGCGAGCACCACCACAGCCGGCUAAUUUUUCUAUUUCUAGUAGAAAUGGGGUUUCACCAUGUUGGCAGGCUGGUCUCGAACUCUGACCUCAAGUGAUCUGCCUGCCUCAGCCUCUGAAAGUGCUGGAUUGCAGGCGUGAGCCACCGCACCAGGCCUAAACAGAUUUCUUUACAAUCUACCACCAUGAACAGCAAGCAUUAGCAUUGGCUCUUCCUUCUGCCCAGCUCCAUCCCACCCAGCAGCCCGCAGAGAAAGGAGGCAGCUGGCACCACACUGGGCUUUGGAGACACUGCGGGGACUGUGGACCCCACCCUGCUGCACGGAGCUCCUGCAAAAG